GUGGAUUAGAUACCCGGGUAGUCCACGCCCUAAACGAUGUCAACUAGGUGUUGGGUGGGUAAAACCAUUUAGUACCGGAGCUAACGCGUGAAGUUGACCGCCUGGGGAGUACGGCCGCAAGGUUAAAACUCAAAGGAAUUGACGGGGACCCGCACAAGCGGUGGAUGAUGUGGAUUAAUUCGACGCAACGCGAAAAACCUUACCUACCCUUGACAUGCCAGGAACUUGCCAGAGAUGGCUUGGUGCCCGAAAGGGAGCCUGGACACAGGUGCUGCACGGCCGUCGCCAACU
rnacentral:rRNA from 1 species